rnacentral:rRNA from 1 species
GAACGGCUCAUACACCAGCUGUAAUUUACUUGACCUUGACAAACCUACUUGGAUAACUGUGGUAAUUCUAGAGCUAAUACAUGCACCAAAACUCCGAUCGCAAGAGAGGAGUGCAUUUGUUCGCCACAAAACCAGCGCCCUCGGGCGUCACAUUGCUGACCCAGAACAACUCAGCUGAUCGCACGGUCUUGCACCGGCGACGUGUCUUUCAAGUGUCUGCCUUAUCAACUUUCGAUGGUAGUGUACCUGACUACCAUGGUUGUGACGGGUAACGGAGGAUAAGGGUUCGACUCCGGAGAAGGGGCCUGAGAAAUGGCCACUACGUCUAAGGAUGGCAGCAGGCGCGCAAAUUACCCACUCUCGACUCGAGGAGGUAGUGACGAGAAAUAACAAGACCGUUCUCACAUGAGGCCGGUCAUUGGAAUGGGUACAAUUUAAACCCUUUAACGAGUAUCUAUGAGAGGGCAAGUCUGGUGCCAGCAGCCGCGGUAAUUCCAGCUCUCAAAAUGCAUAGAAUUAUUGCUGCGGUUAAAAAGCUCGUAGUUGGAUCUGUGCUGGCCGCCCGGUCUGCCCAUUGGGUAUGCACUGGCGCGGUCGGCUUUUGCUGCCGGUUUACGCCCGGCGUUGGCCUUCAUCGGUCGGCGUCGGUGGGCCGGCGAGUUUACUUUGAACAAAUCAGAGUGCUUAAAACAGGCGUUUCGCCUGAAUGUUCGUGCAUGGAAUAAUAGAAGAGGAUCACGGUCCGAUUUUAUUGGUUUUGCUGACCGAGAUAAUGGUUAACAGAGACAAACGGGGCCAUUCGUAUUGCUGCGUGAGAGGUGAAAUUCUUGGACCGUAGCAAGACGGACUACAGCGAAAGCAUUUGGCAAGAAUGUCUUCAUUAAUCAAGAACGAAAGUCAGAGGUUCGAAGGCGAUCAGAUACCGCCCUAGUUCUGACCGUAAACGAUGCCAACUAGCGAUCCGCCGGCGGAUUCAUUCGCCCUGGUGGGGAGCUUCCCGGAAACGAAAGUCUUCCGGUUCCGGGGGAAGUAUGGUUGCAAAGCUGAAACUUAAAGGAAUUGACGGAAGGGCACCACCAGGAGUGGAGCCUGCGGCUUAAUUUGACUCAACACGGGGAAACUCACCCGGCCCGGACACCGUGAGGAUUGACAGAUUGAUAGCUUUUUCAUGAUUCGGUGGAUGGUGGUGCAUGGCCGUUUCUUAGU